GUGGGGAAUAUUGCACAAUGGGCGGAAGCCUGAUGCAGCGACGCCGCGUGAGGGAUGACGGCCUUCGGGUUGUAAACCUCUUUCAGCAGGGACGAAGCGUAAGUGACGGUACCUGCAGAAGAAGCACCGGCUAACUACGUGCCAGCAGCCGCGGUAAUACGUAGGGUGCGAGCGUUGUCCGGAAUUACUGGGCGUAAAGAGCUCGUAGGCGGUUUGUCACGUCGUCUGUGAAAUCCUAGGGCUUAACCCUGGACGUGCAGGCGAUACGGGCUGACUUGAGUACUACAGGGGAGACUGGAAUUUCUGGUGUAGCGGUGGAAUGCACAGAUAUCAGGAAGAACACCGAUGGCGAAGGCAGGUCUCUGGGUAGUAACUGACGCUGAGGAGCGAAAGCAUGGGUAGCGAACAGGAUUAGAAACCCUAGUAGUCC
rnacentral:rRNA from 1 species